rnacentral:rRNA from 1 species
AUUGAACGCUGGCGGCAUGCUUUACACAUGCAAGUCGAACGGUAACAGGCCGCAAGGUGCUGACGAGUGGCGAACGGGUGAGUAAUGCAUCGGAACGCGCCCAGUCGUGGGGGAUAACUGCUCGAAAGAGCAGCUAAUACCGCAUACGUUCUAUGGAUGAAAGCGGGGGACCGUAAGGCCUCGCGCGAUUGGAGCGGCCGAUGUCAGAUUAGGUAGUUGGUGGGGUAAAGGCUCACCAAGCCAACGAUCUGUAGCUGGUCUGAGAGGACGACCAGCGACACUGGGACUGAGACCCGGCCCAGACUCCUACGGGAGGCAGCAGCGGGGAAUUUUGGACAAUGGGGGCAACCCUGAUCCAGCAAUGCCGCGUGCAGGAAGAAGGCCUUCGGGUUGUAAACUGCUUUUGUACGGAACGAAACGGUCUGGGUUAAUACCCUGGGCUAAUGACGGUACCGUAAGAAUAAGCACCGGCUAACUACGUGCCAGCCGCCGCCGUAAUAC